GGACUGAGUCAUUUACUGAGACGGGACGUGAGGGCCUACUCUGCGUGCUCAGAGUUCAAGCCCAGCAGGCUGCAGCGGGCCUGACAUAUUCUGGAACAGCAGCACAGUCUUUAGAUGACUCCUCUGAAGAUGAAAACAUGGUGAGUUCUUCUCAAGAGAAGCAGUACAGGUGUGCCUCAGCUCCACGGUCCCUCCUGCAGCCUCUGCUCCUGAUGCUAACCUCAUGUCUCCAUCACACCAAGCAGCAGACCUGGAGUGACAGACCUUUCUCCAGAGCUGCCCCCUCCCUCUGAAACCCCCCUCUCCAAAACACUAUUUGUGGCGUUUUUAAAGUCUUAUUUGCAUGAGAAUUGUUGAUCAUAACAUUUCCAGCAGAUGCCUUAAUGUAAUGUUUGUGCACAAUAAAUGACAUUGUUCAUAA